GCCCUGUAGCUGGCUCAGUUGGCAGAGCAUGAGACUCUUAAUCUCAGGGUCAUGGGUCCCAAGUUGGGCA